AGUGCUUUCGCUUCAUCCUAGAGGCUAAAUGGGCUCCCCUGGAUUCGCCUGGCAGAACUAACCACCUAGAAGAACGUUAUUGUAAGGGGAAAAUGCAAACAGGGUGAAGACAAGAGGCAUAGGUGAUGGACACUAAAACAAAGACCUGAUGGGGUUAUCACCAUGUUGCCCAGGCUGGUUUCAAACUCCAGGACACAGUCUGUCCUCCUGCCUCAGCCUCCCAAAGUGCUGGGAUUGCAGGUAUGCAAUGACAUGACAGCCAUUCCGUGGCCAGGGACACCACUGCCCAAGCUGGAGACCGCGAGGAUUCAGGGACUGAAGCCAGCAUGGGAAUUCCUGGUUUGAGAUCAGAGUCCUGAGUACCUCGUGGGAACUUGGGCAGUCAUCCGCAGGAGGUCUAGACCCCCAGAGAAUUCCUUGAGUCUAAGGCACAGCUGCCACCCACCGGGAGGGAAGUGAAAUCUCACCUCAACAAGUGAGUCCGCAGAGCGAGAACCCUGCGACAGUGCGUCUGUCAAUACCUGGAAUGUAGGUGUUCGUUGCAGU
rnacentral:sRNA from 1 species